rnacentral:rRNA from 1 species
AUUGAACGCUGGCGGAAUGCUUUACACAUGCAAGUCGAACGGUAGAGGGGGCAACCCCUCGAGAGUGGCGAACGGGUGAGUAAUAUAUCGGAACGUGCCCAGUCGUGGGGGAUAACGUAGCGAAAGUUACGCUAAUACCGCAUACGAUCUAAGGAUGAAAGCGGGGGAUCGCAAGACCUCGCGCGAUUGGAGCGGCCGAUAUCAGAUUAGGUAGUUGGUGGGGUAAAGGCUCACCAAGCCAACGAUCUGUAGCUGGGCUGAGAGGACGACCAGGCACACUGGAACUGAGACACGAUCCAGACUCCUACGGGAGGCAGCAGUGGGGAAGUUUGGACAAUGGACGCAAGUCUGAUCCAGCCAUUCCGCGUGCAGGAUGAAGGCCCACGGGUUGUAAACUGCUUUUGUACGGAACGAAAAGGUCUCUCUUAAUACGGGGGGCUCAUGACGGUACCGUAAGAAUAAGCACCGGCUAACUACGUGCCAGCCGCCGCAGUAA